rnacentral:tRNA from 1 species
UCCCUGGUGGUCAGGUGGUUAAGAAUCUGUGCUUCCAAUGCAGGGGAUGCGGGUUCAAUCCCUGGUCAGGGAA